rnacentral:pre_miRNA from 1 species
GAGACACCCUUAUGGGGCAGGACUUGCUUCAGUAGGGCUUUGGUGCUCACUGAGUCUGCCCCCAGGGUGUGUCCCU